rnacentral:misc_RNA from 1 species
AUCUAUGUCUAAAUGUAUAUCUAUGAAUUGUAAAUGCUGUCGUGUAAAGAUAAAGUGUAAAUAUGGUAUAACGGCGCAAACAUCGGAAAAAAAACAAUUUCUUUUUGCAUUGUGGUUUCUCGUUCUCGAUAGUUGAUAGUUUUGUGAGGAUAAAAAUAAUAUUCACGACACUCGCUUUCUAAUGGGUGGAACUACCAUGCUUCUUUUGAGAAAAUCGGCUUUUUAAGCUUAUUUACAACAUAGGCUACACAGCAACUUAGUUUUAAUAAAUAAAAGGAAUGAAAAUAUGGAGGAUUUAAAAAAGACCGGCCAAACUUCUAAAACUCAUUUUAAUAAAGGGGACAAAAAGCACAUUGAAUCAAAGCAACAAUAUGAAGAAUUAAUUAAUAAUGCCAUGGAAAAUGAUUUUCAUAAAAAAUUCAGUGAUGAGAAUAAUGAAAAGUAUGAAACAAAAUCAUAUUUAUUUUCAAUAAAAAUUCAACUGGAUGGUAUAUCAUUUAGCUUAUUCUUAAUGGCUCUUUUCAGUCGCCUUUAUAAACUUCAAGAACCUAAUUAUAUUGUUUUUGAUGAGCUCCAUUAUGGCAAAUAUGUUUCAAUGUAUAUCCAAAAUACUUUUUAUUUUGCAUCUAAUCCAUCAUUUGGAAUUCAGUUAAUUUCUCUGUUAUCAUAUCUAUGUGGAUAUGAUGGUAAUUUUAAAUUUGAUACAAUUGGUAAAGCUUACAGUCCAGAAAUUCCAUUGUUUGCACUUCGCAUUGUCCCUGCAUUUUUUGGCAGUUUGCUUGUACCAUUGGCAUACCAUAUACUUUUAGAAUUGAAGCUGUCUCAGUGGACUGCACUACUGGGAGCACUUUUAAUUUUAUUUGAUAAUGCAUUCCUAACACAAAGCAGAUUUAUAUUAAUGGAGACAAUUCUUAUAUGUUUUGCUGUUUGUGGUAUUUUUUGUAUACUUCGCUUUUGCAAGUAUAAACACAAUCCCUAUUGUUUUCAUUGGUGGCUUUUGAUGUUUAUUGCCUGGAUUUUUCUUACUUUGGCAGUAUGUGUAAAGUAUGUGGCUUUUUACACAUAUUGUUUGGGAAUUGUGCUGGUGUUACACAAUUUUUGGAAUAUUGUGCCGUCUAGAAAUACUUCCGAUAAGUCAUUGUUUAUACAGUUCUGCAUACAAAUCAUUUCAGCCAUCAUUAUUCCUUUUAUGGUUUAUUUGGCAGUAUUUUAUGUUCAUUUAAGUGUAUUAUACAAAGCAGGUCCACAUGACAAUGUUCUCACAAGUGCUUUUCAGGCAUCUCUUGAAGGAGGGUUAGCUUCAAUCACUAAAGGUCAACCAAUCACUGUUGCACAUGGAUCUCAGAUAACAUUGAGGCAUUCUCAUGGUCGCACUUGCUGGCUUCAUUCCCAUCAACAUGUGUAUCCCAUACGUUAUUCCGAUAAAAGGGGUUCUAGUCAUCAGCAACAAGUUACGUGUUAUUCUUUUAAGGAUGUUAACAACUGGUGGAUAGUCAAACGACCUGAAAAAAAUGAAUUGGUCGUUGAAAACCCGAUUGAUGCAAUCAAACAUGGUGACGUCAUUCAGUUGGUACAUGGUUUAACAAGUAGAGCAUUAAAUUCACACGAUGUAGCUGCACCAAUGUCGCCCCAAUGCCAAGAGGUAUCCUGUUAUAUCGACUACAAUAUAUCUAUGGCUGCUCAGAAUUUGUGGAAAGUAGAUAUUAUUAAUAGAGAACAAAUGGGAAAUGUAUGGCGCGCCAUACAGUCUCAAGUUCGCUUAAUUCAUUUAAAUUCGAAUCAAGCUUUAAGAUACAGCGGCAAGCAGUUGCCCGAUUGGGGGUUUCAUCAACAUGAAGUUGUAACAGAUCGCAUUAUUUACCAAGACGACACUAUUUGGAACGUCGAAGAACAUGUAUACACUAAAUCUGAAGACCAAAAAGAUCGGGAAAGAGAUAUAAUAGCUUCAGAAAUGAUUCCAACAUCUGCCCCACAACUUUCCUUUUGGAACAAAUUUUUCGAACUACAAUAUAAAAUGUUAUUUAAGGGAACCGAAAGUGUGCAAAAUCACAUGUUUAGCUCAGAACCUAUCGAAUGGCCUCUAAUGGUUAGGGGUAUAGCAUACUGGGUUUCUAAUCAUGAUAAUGCUCAAAUUCACCUAAUUGGUAAUAUAAUGACUUGGUACACAGCAACUUUUUCUGUUGUAGUUUAUUGUUUACUUUUUGUAUUUUACCUUUUAAGAAGACGGCGACUGUGUUUUGAUUUAGAAAACGAUGACUGGGAAAUAUUCAAAGCAAUUGGUCUAGUCUUUUUACAAGGAUAUUUGUUUAACUACAUACCUUAUUUUUUUGUGGAAAGAACUCUAUUUUUACAUAAUUAUUUGCCUGCCUAUUAUUUUAAAAUUCUUUUAACAGCAGCAUUGUUCGAGCAUAUUUAUGUAUUGAUUAAGAAAACAGUUCAGAACAAAAUUGCCGCUAAAUUAUUUGUGGUAUUUGUUUUAGUAUGGCUUAUGUAUGUGAUUUACAUAUUUAAGAGAUUUACUGUAUUAAAUUACGGAGUAACCAAAUUAACACUUAACGAUAUUAGGAACCUGAAAUGGCGCGAUAGUUGGGAUUUUAUAUAUCAUAGAAAUUAAUUUUAGAUAAUUUAUUUAUAUACGUAUGUCCUGCUGUUACAAAUAUUAUCGAUGUGUAAUGUAUAAUUUUGAUAACGAAAUUUAUUUUUAUGAAAAGUAUUUUAUCUCAAUAUAAAACUUCACCAGUAAAUUGUUCUAUAAAAAUAAUUUAAUUAUUUUCAAUAUUUGUAGCUAGUUACAGCAAAGUUACGACGAUUGUUGUGCAGAAAGUGAAACAAAAGAAAGAUUCUAAUAAUUAUAAAUCUUAGUGCUACACGACCAAGAUCUUCUAUAGUAUGCUCUCUAAAAAUAAAUUCAGUAAUUCUAUUGAUAUGUUUUUGUAAAAAAUCUCGAGUUUUCAGCCUAUUUUUUGUUUUUUAUUUUCGUGAUAUAACUGUAUAACUCAUUGGAACUUUCGAUUUGAAACAGAGAAUACGAAGUAAUGUGUUGAACACCUACAAGUUGGGUCCUUAAUAGAACUGUAUAAGGUGAUAAAAUAACUGAAUCCUUGGUUGGGAUCGGAAGUACCGGUGUAACAAACAAAUGGCGUAUUAAAUUAGUAUUGGGAAGCUCUUUAGUAAAACGGUUUGUGAACCCUAGAAUCCUGGAAGUUUUACUAAUUACAGCUUCAACAUGUUUAGCAGAUGUAAAUAAUUUGGCGAGCAGACGAUCAUGGCAUAUAAACUCACCGUGUGGAUAUUUUGAUCCAAGGCUGCAGUAACUUGAGCAGCCAUUGACAAAUCCGUGUUGUUGAGGGAUUAUUAGUGUAAAAAAAUGGUCAGUUAUAUGGUCAGCCACAAGCCUGUCAUACAUCUUGUCAAACGUACACAGAGCCGAUAUUGAUGUACAAUAUUUGGCAUUUUACUUAUCACCUUUCUUAUGAAUGGGAAGAACGUAAGAUUUCUUCCAUAAUUCAGAUAAGUAACCUGCUGGAAAGUUAUCGAUUAAAAAAAUUUAACAGUCAGUUUGCUUAAGGUGGACCAACAUUUAUGGAUCAGGGCUGACCGUUUCCUUGAAUGAAUCGAAAGCCUAUGCUAUAGAAGCAUCAGUAACAUCACAGAGAGAAGCCAUGAAACAGUCAGCGUUGAACAUCAAUACUAAUAAUACAAAUAUUCUCGUUAUCUGUUAUGGUUAGCUGUUUCAGAAGCUCCAAGACUUGAAACGCUUGAAUACGGAUAUACUUUCUUCAGAAGGCAACACGUAUGUGCCCUUGAAUUGUAGAUUACUAUCGUAUUUGAUAUGUCUGCUACGGUCACUGGUGUCUUUUGGUGGGAUCCUUUAAUUUUUAUCGAAGAAAAAAUUUUCCAUUCUCUUCAGCGAAUUUUCUAGUUCACUUAUUCGUUUUUUAAAUCAAAAAAUUUCAUUUUCGCAUUUAUCUGGCCAUUUUCUAAAAGGGACAAUAUACAGAUAUGUUUUACCUACCUACAUUACAUACGUCACAGAUACCAUAUGUAAAUAAUUAAAGCUUAUUAACAGAAUAAGCAUGAAUUAAAAACUAAUUUGCCCACUAACCGUGUUUAACACACCAAUACACGAUUAGUUUCACUUUCUGGGGCAACAUUAUCAAAUGGAAUAACAAUUGUACAUUAUCUACUUUGAAUAUGCUAAUUCACACAAAUAAAAAUAAAUAAUUCUUUUUGA